CUAUGUAAACAAUACAAGUGUUUAAGAGAUUUGGAAUUUUUGCUACUAUUUGCUUGAGCUCUAAAGUGUACAGAUUUAGCCAAAGCAAAAACCAAAGACUGACACAUUCUCCUGCACAAAAAUAUUGGGGAUGAAAGGAAUAUUUAACAGUAUUCAAAAUCCCAUAGAAGAUUUUAUAGCACUCAUUCUCUCAGGCCUUAAAAUCUACAGAAAGUUUAUGCAUUUGCUCAAGGUGUUCCUGGUGUCUUUGGAUCAUGCCUGUUGUUUGCUCCAGUCCCUGGAUAAUCAUUAUUUUCAAAAUCAAUCCUUCUCUCCAUAAACUCUUCUGCUAGAUCAAACAAAUCUUCUCCACUUCUCAAUUCCUCAACACCCUGAAACCAUAGACCCAGAAAUUGUAUUUUCAGUUAUAUUACAGACCCCUUUGCUGCAUGCAGAUACAAUACAGGAACAUCAGAAUAUAUCAGAAGCAGCAGAAGACAUAACAAAAGAAAGGGCCAGAAGAAGGAUAAGGAGCAAUUGCAUAGGAGAUUUGGGGUUCAUGUUGAAGAAGAAGAAGAAGAGGGAUCUGAAAGGUGACAAAGAAAUGGUAAGAAAGAGAAAGUUGAAGAAGGUGAAUUUUAUGGAAUACUUUGGAGAUAGUGUUUAUAUGGAGAAUGAGAAUCCAAGUACCAUUGCUUGAUCCAAAGUCAACCUAAACUUUAACAUUUUCAUUAAUUAUUGAUUCUUCCAAAGCUUUUCAAAAUGAAAUAUUUUCAACUUUCAUGUCCAUGUACCACAAUCAAUGUGCCUUUCCCCACACAUCACUGCUCUACUUUGGAUUUGUUUUUAU
rnacentral:sRNA from 1 species